rnacentral:rRNA from 1 species
UGAGCAAUCUGCCCUUCUCUUCGGAAUAAGCGUUGGAAACGACGUCUAAUGCCGAAUACGACCUCCUUUCGCAUGAUCGGAGGUGGAAAGCUCCGGCGGAGAAGGAUGAGCUCGCGGCCUAUCAGCUUGUUGGUGAGGUGAUGGCCUACCAAGGCGACGACGGGUAGCCGGCCUGGAGGGGCGACCGGCCACACUGGGACUGAGACACGGCCCAGACUCC